CUACGGAGGGUGCAAGCGUUACUCGGAAUCACUGGGCGUAAAGCGCGCGCAGGCGGCUAUUUAAGUUGGAUGUGAAAGCCUACGGCUCAACCGUAGAACUGCAUCCAAAACUAUUUAGCUAGAGUGUGGGAGAGGAAGAUGGAAUUAGUUGGGUAGGGGUAAAAUCCGUAGAGAUAACUAGGAAUACCAAAAGCGAAGGCAAUCUUCUGGAACACUUCUGACGCUGAGGCGCGAAAGCGUGGGGAGCAAACAGGAUUAGAAACCCUAGUAGUCC
rnacentral:rRNA from 1 species